rnacentral:misc_RNA from 1 species
AAGUCGUAACAAGGUUUCCGUAGGUGAACCUGCGGAAGGAUCAUUAACGAAUUUCCAAAAUCGAGUGGGCGUCAGCCCACUCGGUGGUCAGCUCCGAGCGCGGCUGCCGUAAGGCAGCGGUGCUCGUGACAAGUGCAACAGCACGAGUAUGAGGUUGGAGAGUGUAAUACAAUAAUAGAUACAACUUUUAACAACGGAUCUCUGGGCUCUU